rnacentral:rRNA from 1 species
CCUANGGGGGGCAGCAAUUAGGAAUCUUGCACAAUGGGCGAAAGCCUGAUGCAGCGACGUCGCGUGACUGAUGAAGUCUUUCGGGAUGUAAAGGUCUUUUCUGGGGGAAGAAGGAUGUGACGGUACCCCAGGAAUAAGCCCCGGCUAACUACGUGCCAGCAGCCGCGGUAAUACGUAGGGGGCGAGCGUUGUCCGAAUUUACUGGGCGUAAAGCGCNCGUAGGUGGAUAUUUAAGUUGAGGGUGAAAGCUCGAGGCUCAACCUCGGAACUGCCUUCAAAACUGGAUAUCUUGAGGUAUGGGAGGGAACUGGAAUUCCUGGUGUAGCGGUGACAUGCGUAGAUAUCAGGAGGAACACCGAUGGCGAAGGCAGGUUCCUGGCCAUAUCCUGACACUGAGGUGCGAAAGCUAGGGUAGCGAACGGGAUUAGAUACCCCANUAGUC